rnacentral:rRNA from 1 species
UACGAAGGGGGCUAGCGUUGCUCGGAAUCGCUGGGCGUAAAGGGUGCGUAGGCGGGGCUUUAAGUCAGGGGGGAAAUCCUGGAGCUCAACUCCAGAACUGCCUUUGAUACUGAAGAUCUUGAGUUCGGGAGAGGUGAGUGGAACUGCGAGUGUAGAGGUGAAAUUCGUAGAUAUUCGCAAGAACACCAGUGGCGAAGGCGGCUCACUGGCCCGAUACUGACGCUGAGGCACGAAAGCGUGGGGAGCAAACAGG